rnacentral:rRNA from 1 species
UCCUGGCGACCAUAGCGGUUUGGAACCACCUGACUCCAUCUCGAACUCAGAAGUGAAACAAACCCGCGCCGAUGAUAGUGUGGAGUUUCUCC